UACGAAGGGGGCUAGCGUUGCUCGGAAUCACUGGGCGUAAAGGGUGCGUAGGCGGGUCUUUUAAGUCAGGGGUGAAAUCCUGGAGCUCAACUCCAGAACUGCCUUUGAUACUGAAGAUCUUGAGUUUCGGGAGAGGUGAGUGGAACUGCGAGUGUAGAGGUGAAAAUUCGUAGAUAUUCGCAAGAACACCAGUGGCGAAGGCGGCUCACUGGCCCGAUACUGACGCUGAGGCACGAAAAGCGUGGGGGAGCAAACAGG
rnacentral:rRNA from 1 species